rnacentral:piRNA from 1 species
UAUAAGAAGAAAAACAAAGUU